AGUCUCUGGAAUUGACUCCUAUUUUCAGCGAAAGCCAACCAUCUGUAGGUCUAGUAUGGUCACUAGUUUAGACAACAUCUGCAGCAGCCCUCACUGAUAACUGAUUAUUUCAUCUGUAACAACACAUAAAUAUGACUAAGCUUCUGUUGCAAAAAGACUCCAUAAGCUGUGUGCUCAUCCUGUUAGAAACUCACUGCAGGAGCUCAAUGAAAAGCAACAACACACACCUUGAGAUAAAUCAGGUGCCAAUGAGCCAGAAAUACUCUUAAAUCUAGUAGGGAAACCAUCAAUCAGUUCUUAUCUGAAGAUUAAUCGUUAUAAUUUUCAAUACUAAAAACUUCUGUUCUACCAAUGCCUGUAACUUAUCAUGCUGCCUGUUCUGUGUAAAAAAUCUUUUAACUUACUUUUUUCUAUUACUCAGCUCCUCACUGAACAAUUCCAUAUUCUACCACGCUGGUGUUUCAGUUCCCUGAAAACAAGGGCCUGAGGUUACUUUACUGAUGUUGAUACAAUGGCCCAUCUGCAACAUUGUAAAAUUUAGUUGUUUUUUUUUUUUUUUCCCAUCUACUUCCAGCACCUUUCUACUGACCCCUCAAAUAUGUUACCUCAAAAAUCUCUUCUGAAAUGCUUGAAGUCUUGUUUAUUUCAAAUAAAUCUUAUUUCUUAUUUGCCACAUAGCAAAGUGGGGGUGGGAGGAGUUGUUGCUAAGUGGUGGAGCUUCCCAUCUUUCUGUGGUGCGUUGACAAACUUCUUCGGUAUGCAAGAGGGAGACGCGGAGUUCUCUCAUAAGUCCUGUUGGCUUUAUUUAUGGCCAUAUGUUUUGCAGGUAAUUCUGGCAUGCCAUCAGAAAAGACACCAGGCAGGUUUGGCUUGUUUUCAUCCCAAGCUGGUUUUAGGAAACGCUUCAAGUCUUUACAUCAAUGAACUUUGCAAUGUUCCAACAAGUUUCAAACCUCACAAAAAAACAAACAAACAAACAAACAAAACUCAUCCGUGUCGUUAUCUGUCUUAUUUCUCAAGGGAUUUCCACGUAACAAGAAUUGUUUCCUUUGACGUGCAUAUAGCUGCUGCAUGCGGGCGCGGAGCAGAGCGCACAGGCGCGGGGGAAGCACCGAACAGGCGCACAGCACGCUGGCAGGGUGGGCGCGCUCGUGCCCUCACGAAACAGUGGGAAGGCCCACGGGAAACUCUCCAUGCACAGAACCAUUGGAACAGCCAGCGACUGGCGACCGGCGAACAACAGCCCGGGGAGGGCAGGGCAGGGCAGAGCAGAGCCGCGGAGCGACGCCUCGCCUUCCAUCUCCACAGGCGAAGGCGGGGGUGGGCGGCGCAUGCGCGGUGCGGCGCUGGCGGCGGGGCGGGAUGGUGGCGCCGCUGGCGGGCCCGAGCUGCAGGCGGCCGCCCUCUGGCUCCCCAUGACAAGCAGCCAGGAGGAUUUCUUCAGGGACUACCUCAAGAUGCUGGCGAACAUCGUCAUCCUGAGCCUGCUCAUCUCGGUCUCGCUGGCGUUCUGGAUCGUGUCCAUGACCGCGAGCACAUACUACGGUAAUAUCCAGCCAAUUUCUCCAUGGCGCUGGCUUUUUUCAGUCACAGUUCCGGUAGUGAUUGUUACACAAGGUUUUAAGAAGAGGAGUCUUGAUCACAGUGGUGCAUUGGCAGGAUUGGUGGUUGGAUUUAUCCUUACAGUUGCAAAUUACAGUUUCUUCAGUUCAUUGCUUGUAUUUUUUGUUACUUCUUCAAAACUUACUAAAUGGAAAAAAGAUGUAAAGAAACGUAUAGAUUCAGAAUACAAAGAAGGUGGACAGAGGAAUUGGUUGCAGGUAUUCUGUAAUGGUGGUAUUCCUACUGAGCUGGCUAUCUUGUAUAUGAUAGAAAGUGGACCUGGUGAAAUCCCAAUAGACUUUUCAAGAUAUUACACGGCAUCGUGGAUGUGCUUAUCCCUUCUGGGAGCUUUGGCAUGCUCUGCUGGCGAUACCUGGGCAUCAGAGAUUGGUAGCGUUAUGAGUAAAAGCAAGCCAAGGUUGAUAACAACUUGGAAACAAGUUCCAGUAGGUACUAAUGGAGGAGUUACAUUGGUGGGCCUGCUCUCAAGUUUUCUUGGUGGCAUGGCAGUAGGUAUAGCCUACUACAUAACACAGCUUGUUUUCGUGAGUGAUCUGGAUGUGUCGGCUCCGCAGUGGCCAAUUAUUGUGUUUGGAGCAGCAGCAGGCUUACUGGGAUCAAUUCUUGAUUCAUAUUUGGGUGCUACAAUGCAAUACAGUGGUUUUGACAAGAAUACCAGCAUGGUUGUCAACUACCAAACAAGAGACUGCCAGCACAUAUCUGGAAAGCCUAUAUUAGACAACAAUGCAGUAAAUCUGUUUUCCUCUCUGCUUGUUGCUCUGGUUUUUCCAGCUGUGGCAUUGUGUGUCUGGCCAAGACGUUGAAAUGGCUUAAGGCUUUUGGCAUGUAAUCAGUUAUAUUCAGUCUUUCUUAAAGACUUCUAAGAGUGCUCUUUGAGUGCUCUUAAAAAAAGGGAUCUGAACAUUUGAGAGAGCCAAUGGAUUUCCAUCUCAACUUAUGUAAGCUUCGUAUGGCAGUAGUCAUCUAUCAGGACAAGAAGUUUUGUUAAUUAUGCUGUUGCUCUUUGAGUGGUUGCAGAUCAUUGCCAAGUGAGGUAAAGCAUUUUGUUUGUCCUCCUGAAACCUAAGGAUUGGCUUCAGUGGUCUCAGUGGAGGAGCAAGAAUCUGGAAAUGGAAAUGUGAUCUACAUUUACCAGGGUAUUGGAGCACUGAAGCUAUUGUCCAAGCCAGGAACAAGUCCUCUGCAACUUUGUGUAGGCAGCAAUAACACAGACAUGUUGUGUGUGUUGCCUGUCCAAAUUCAUUUGGAUCGUACUCUGUCACUUUUUUUGAGAAUGUUCAAAAAUUUUAAUACCUUCCACAUUGGAUUUAUUGAUUUGAAAUUUACUCUGCAAGUCUGGAAUUCAGCACUGGAAUUAGUGAACUGUAUUAUCCAGCUUUUCGAAGGUAUAAAAGCUUUCUGAAAAGAACAAGUUGUGUGGUUGCUGUACAUCAGCCUUUCUGUGGAAAAGCACACAAUUAUAAAAGAAAUGUAUGCACUUAAUCUAUAGCAAGGUAUACAUGAGAUUUUUUUUUAGUGGAUUUAUGCUGCUUCUACAUAAAGGCUGUGUUAGUUGCCUUUUAGGAUUUUAUUAGUACUUCUGUAAUGUUUAGAAUUAAAAAAUACACAUUUUUGUAAAAUAAUUUUUCUUUCAAUUAAAUGCCUUAUUUUUUUAUUAUUAUUUCAGUUCCUGAAACAAAGUCUGCUUUCAAAUACUGAGGUAGACUUAGCCUGUUUUUCACUGCUGUUCAAUACUAGUCUCAUUUUAAAAACAGCAUGUCACAGUGAGAAGACAUCUGUAGUUUUAAGUCCACAGCAGCAUGAAAUGCUUUGAUCUGUUAUCAUGUGAAUUAAUGUGAUCCCAUCAGAGUCCUGCAAUAAGGACCUUCAAUGGCCGCUGUUUGGAAUUUUACCUUUGUCUUAUCUUCAUGAUGGUGACGCUGAGUUGUUUAUGAAAUUCCCACUCCUAAAUCUUCAAUAUUUAGAAAGAUCAGAGUACUCUUGAACUCCGAAAAGGACUCCAAAAAAAACUCCAAAAAGUGCUAAUUCUAUGUAUACUAUAUCAACUCAGGUACAGCUUAUGCUAAUUUAGUUUCUUCUUUUUAAUAGAAGGUACAGGGAGGAAGAUACAGUGUAUGGCUGUACCUGUGAACAGCCUGUUAACUGAUGUGUCACUAAGAGCCAUUACUGAGAUGAGAAAGGAGCAGACAGGAAUGUUGCCUUUCCACGUGAUGCUUUGGGAAAUAGAAAGCAUAGAAGUAAAAGGGAAAAUGAGGAGAGAAGCUAGAUUGAAAACAGAAAAAUCAACAGCACCUGAAUAUGUUUUGCUUCAGAACUGUUGGUACCUUUAGUGUGUGAGAUAACUCUGUCACUACAUUUUAUUGAAGUGACAGAGAUUUUCCAUAGCACCAAGAGGAUGCACCAAAUUUUUUUCUUUUUUAAUUGAGAAGUUUCAAUUGUGAAACAUUGUUCCUCGUUUUUGGCUUGUUUUUAGAUGUGUUAGAAGUUCAAGUAAAAGUAUGAUAAUGGCAUAAUUUAUUUUUAAUAAAUAACAUAUUACAAUCACUCUGUGUCUGAGAAGUCUUUAGCCAGGUCUUGCUUAGGCUUGGUGUCCUGAUCUUGAGUGUUGAAGGGUGUUGGUAUCAGAGUGACCAAUAUUCAGAAUUACUUCGUAUUUCUCUUAGAUUGUCUUGGGUCUGUCCAUGUUGCUGUUGACUGGUCUGCCAUUACAGCUGUAAAGCACAGUUUGCUGGGACAACGAAAUAAAGCGGUAUAAAAAGUGAAGUGGAUAUAUCACCUCUCUUGAGACUUAAACACUAGCUAACGUUCAGAUAACUCACUUUUUUGACAACAAGGGGCUGAAAAAUUUUGAAAGACUGUUGACAUUUUACAGACCUUGGUUUGCGGACUGGAUAAAUGCAGCAGUAGAUUGAUAUUCACAUUUAAAUCUGUUAGGAUUUCGUUUUUCACAUUUGUAAGUGGGAUUUUUUUUCCUGUUUUUCCCCCAUUAUUGCUCUGGUCCCUUCUCUGUUUUUAAUUAUCCAGAUCCUGAAAUUGCACUAGAUUGUUAUUUCUUCAAGCAGGAGUUAACCUAUUUUCAGGAAGUUGGAGUGUUGACUUAGAGCUUUGUAGAUAUAUUGCACCCUGCUUCUGGCAGUUCUUCCAGUGCUGCCAGGUGUUUGUUGCUUCACACCAGUAC